AGCGAACGCUGGCGGCAGGCUUAACACAUGCAAGUCGAGCGGGCACUUUCGGGUGUCAGCGGCGGACGGGUGCGUAACGCGUGGGAACGUGCCCUCUGGUUCGGAAUAACUCAGGGAAACUUGAGCUAAUACCGGAUACGCCCUUUUGGGGAAAGGCUUGCUGCCGGAGGAUCGGCCUGCGUCUGAUUAGCUAGUUGGUGAGGUAACGGCUCACCAAGGCGACGAUCAGUAGCUGGUCUGAGAGGAUGAUCAGCCACACUGGGACUGAGACACGGCCCAGACUCCUACGGGAGGCAGCAGUGGGGAAUAUUGGACAAUGGGCGCAAGCCUGAUCCAGCCAUGCCGCGUGAGUGAUGAAGGCCUUAGGGUUGUAAAGCUCUUUUAUCCGGGACGAUAAUGACGGUACCGGAGGAAUAAGCCCCGGCUAACUUCGUG
rnacentral:rRNA from 1 species